AACUGCGCCGUGUCGGGAAGUGGAAACACUCUCGGAGCUUGCAAUUAGGCUUGAACAACACGUAGCGCAGUUUU
ncrna:unclassified sequences c4-2 RNA